GUUUUAAUAAUUUAAAUAAAAUAUUGGUCUUGUAAAUCAAAAAUAAGGUUUCUUUUAAAACU
rnacentral:tRNA from 8 species